AAGAAGGCCUCCGGAAUGAAAGAGUAAAAAUUGAAGUCUCCUCAUUCAGAGAGCCUUCUUUU
rnacentral:pre_miRNA from 1 species